AUAGAAAAAGAUUCUGUGGGGAACUGGCUGGGUUGAAAAUCAUGGCAUGGGUACCAGCAGAGUCUGCAGUGGAAGAGGAGUUGAUGCCUGGCCCUCUGCCACCAGACAGAAGGUUUCAAUCCCUCGUUAUCCCAGAGGAUGCCUCAGGAAUACCUGAGGAAGGUCCAUACCAAAGCAGCUCAAUGUCCAGAUGCUGUGGUACCUCAAACUGACCCAAAUAAGUUGAAAAGGAUGAAGUUGAAAAGGAAGCAAGGUGUGAAGGUUUCUCUUUUAGGAUGCCAACCUGCCCCUGAAGGUUAUUCCCCAAUACUUCAGUGGCAAUAGAAAGUGGCACCGUUUUCAACGUAAGACAGAAUGUGCACAAACAUAGAAGUCACUGCAAAUCACGACAGUUGGAUAGUAAUGUGACUAUGCCAAAAUCUAAAGAUGAAGAAGGCUAGAAGAAAUUUUGUCUGAGUGAAAGUUUAUAUGCUGGUGUGGUCACUGACAGCUACAAAUGAAAGUCCUAGAAUUAAUUAUGUUCAAAUUGGUUUUCCUCCCUUGGUUAGUAUUGCUAGCAGAAUGAAUCAGACAACAGUAGCUACUGUCUUGGAAUAUCUGAGUAAUUGGUUUGGAGAAAGAGACUUUACUUUGGAUUUGAGAAGAUGGCUUUAUGUCUUAUUGGCUUGCCUUGAAAAACCUUUAUUACAUGAGGUUCAUUCACUGAUUCAGCAGCUUGCAAGAAGGUGCUCUGAAGUGUGAGGCUCUUAGUG
rnacentral:lncRNA from 1 species